rnacentral:rRNA from 1 species
UGGGGAAUUUUGCGCAAUGGGGGAAACCCUGACGCAGCGACGCCGCGUGGAGGAUGAAGGUCUUCGGAUUGUAAACUCCUUUUGCUGAGGAACAAAUACCAUUCGUUAAUAGCGAGUGGGGUUGAAAGUACCUGGCGAAUAAGCACCGGCUAACUCCGUGCCAGCAGCCGCAGUAAUACGGAAGGUGCGAGCGUUGUUCGGAAUUAUUGGGCGUAAAGCACGUGUAGGUGGUUGUUUAAGUUUGCUGUGAAAGCUCAAAGCUCAACCCUGAAACUGCAGCGAAUACUGGAUAACUUAAGUGCCGGAAAGGAAAGCGGAAUUCCUGGUGGAGCGGUGAAAUGCGUAGAUAUCAGGAAGAACACCAAUGGCGAAGGCGGCUUUCUAGACAACAACUGACACUGAGACGCAAAAGCGUAGGUAGCAAACAGG